rnacentral:rRNA from 1 species
AUUGAACGCUGGCGGCAGGCUUAACACAUGCAAGUCGAGCGGGGAAGAGUAGCUUGCUACUUGACCUAGCGGCGGACGGGUGAGUAAUGCUUAGGAAUCUGCCUAUUAGUGGGGGACAACAUCUCGAAAGGGAUGCUAAUACCGCAUACGUCCUACGGGAGAAAGCAGGGGACCUUCGGGCCUUGCGCUAAUAGAUGAGCCUAAGUCGGAUUAGCUAGUUGGUGGGGUAAAGGCCUACCAAGGCGACGAUCUGUAGCGGGUCCGAGAGGAUGAUCCGCCACACUGGGACUGAGACACGGCCCAGACUCCUACGGGAGGCAGCAGUGGGGAAUAUUGGACAAUAGGGGGAACCCUGAUCCAGCCAUGCCGCGUGUGUGAAGAAGGCCUUUUGGUUGUAAAGCACUUUAAGCGAGGAGGAGGCUACCGAGAUUAAUACUCUUGGAUAGUGGACGUUACUCGCAGAAUAAGCACCGGCUAACUCUGUG